rnacentral:lncRNA from 1 species
CCGACGCGUAGCACCACAACGGUAGCAGCCACGGGUGGUGGAAGGGCACGUCGCCGCCGCUCAGGAAGAACAGACGGCAGAACUUGCUCAGGAACAGCAGCAGCGGGAUGAAGUGCGUCCAGAAGUUGAGCGUCUCGUUGGACUUCUAUUUGGAACUGAGUCCGACAGCUCAGGACUGGCUGCUCAAACUCCACAAUUUAAUGAAAAAUCUCAGAUGAUGACUCAGAAAACCUCUAAUGAUCUGAGGAAUAUAUUAAGGGAUUCCAGAGUCAAAGGCUGAUCAUGGAGGGCAUUGAUGAGGGAAGACUUCAGGUGGCUGGAGACCAGAAGAAAGGAACACUGGAAGAAUGAAAACGGUUGUGAUGCACUGCAGUGUG